rnacentral:rRNA from 1 species
GUGUCAGCAGCCGCGGUAAAACGUAGGACGCAAGCGUUAUCCGGAGUUACUGGGCGUAAAGCGCGGGCAGGCGGUUCUGCCAGUCUGAUGUGAAAUCUCCUCGCUCAACGGGGAGCAGCCAUUGGAAACUACAGAACUGGAGUCUGACAGAGGUAGGCGGAAUUCCGGGUGGAGUGGUGAAAUGCGUAGAGAUCCGGAGGAACACCAGAGGCGAAGGCGGCCUACUGGGUCAGUACUGACGCUGAGCCGCGAAAGCCAGGGGAGCGAACGGGAUUAGAAACCCCCGUAGUCC